AAAAAAAUCCCUUUAUCUUUUCAAAUAUAACACACAAUUUUUUCAUAUAUAUCCCAUUUAUAAAAUUACACAUGAUAUAUGUUAUUGUCUUUCAUCAUUCUGUGUAGAAUGCGAGCUUGGAUAACUAGAAAUUGUUUUUGUAUCUGUUCUAUAAAGAAACAUGGUCUCAGUGGGACGAGAGCAACUUGAUCUAUGUAGAACAUAGGAAACAUCACCUGCAAAAAUCUCUUAUUACUGUUAUAUAUAAGUGCCAUGAAGCAAGCACCUCCCGGUUGUCCUCCUGCUUACCUCAAAGGGCAGUUUCGUCAUUUCAGCCUAUUGAAAUGGGCUUCUUUGGUAUUUUAGUUAACAUUGUGUAAUAUGUGCUGAGCCGUUGUGAUAGUUGUUUCACGUGUCAUAGAGACACAGCUUCAGGAGAGUUACAAAUUCUCCACUUUACUUUUUGAUUUGUUUUUAGUUUUGUGGUUUUCUUCAAUAGAUGUGCAAAUCAUUGUUAAAUUGGUAUUUGUUGCUUUCUUUCAUCAUGUUCUUUCAUCUCAGGUGAGUUUCAAUCUGUUAUCGCUGAUAAAUUCCUUUGCAAUGCUAUUAUUUUCAAGUGUCUUGUUGAUAUUUUCAUUAUGCAAGUUAGGUGUUUGAUGAAAGCCCUCUGUCAUACAUCACUAGGAUAAAAAGCCUCGGAUGCUGUUUCUAUCUAUUAACUUUAUUUUGCUUCUGUGCAUCCCAGAUCGUUACCGUCGUUUUCUUAUUUAAUCACUAAGCUUCUUCUUCAUCUCAGGUGAGCCUUGAAUCUUUUACUACUAUUUUCUGGUAAUAAGAAUGUUACUUCUAUGGUGCUUAGACAAAUUAGAUUUUAAGAUAGCCAUCUCUUCUCAUGUUAAAAUUAUUUCAUGUAUUUCACGGAUUUUUUUCAUUAUUACUUUAAUAAUCAUGAGGAAUUACAACUUCAGUUAAUUAUUAUCUGAUAAGAAUAGACUUUUAGAAUAUGAAUAUUCGACAAUUUCUAGCUUUUUGUUCUUAUCUCAAUUUAGGUGGUGGGCAAAGGAGGUAUUGAAAUGCCCUUCAUUAAUCAGGCAUGUUGUCCUGAAGCAGGUCAUUGUGGCCGCCUAAAUUCUCGCUUAUCUAAGAAUAUAAUAAGCAUUGUGAAUUUUUUUUUUUCAAUAGAUUAGCUUGAUGUUUUUAAAUUAACUUGACUUCAAGGAUCAUCCUGUUUAGUUUUUGACUCUAAAUGUUGUCCUUUUGAUUCUCCCUUAUAACUUUCACAGGUAGAAUUUGAUUCUGUUUAUUUUGCAUGCAUUGAUUAUCAAGACAGAGUAAAACACAAGAAGGAUAAAUCUCUUGAGGUUAUAUGGCGUGGCUUGAGAACAUUUGGUUCUUUCUCCCAAGAAGAUGGAGCAUUCUUAAGCUUUGUUAAUUUAUUUUAUGUCAUUAAUCAUUUGGUUAAUAACAUUUUUUGGCACUUAGCAGAUAUUUGCCAAUGUAUUUUUGUACAUUAUAGUACACAAAUGGUUUCCAUUUCGAAGUGAAUGAUGUUUCGUUCCACUUCAGGUUCUAUUAGAGUGCAAAAAUAAGCCUCUUUAUGGUUUAUUUUAAAAUAUAUCAAGAGAACUAAUUUCUUACAAAUUGGGAUAUAAUUGCAGAAUGCUCCUCUUAUCUUUGACAUUAAUGUUGGCAAACAGGUUAAUGACUUCAUCAAUGCUACAAUCACCCAGGCAAAUGUGACACGUACAAAUUACAUCAUGAGGACCAUGGGAGAAAACUUUCAAUACCAAUAUGUUGAAUCUUGGUUUAAGAAAAUGGAUAAAUAGAUUCACUAUGUCAACAAGAAAAUGAUUGUGUUAAUGAUAGUGGACUCAAUGAUUAUGGACAGUUAGGGGUGUCAGAUGACAGAGAUAAUAUAAUUGGAUAAUAUGAAGGUUAUCAUAUUUUCUUUAGCUUGCUCAGACUUACAGAGCCUUCUUUCCCACCGUGUUGUCCAAAAGAUGAUGCUUCUUGGUAGAAGAUGUCUGGGAUGAUCCCAACAACGGAGGAGUAUGCAGAGAUGGCUCAAGUUCAUGCACUAUAUUUUUUAGAUAGUGGCUGUCUGUUUCUGCUUGAUUUCUCACCAUAAUAAUGACCACCUCCGUACUCUUUCAUAUUUGCAAGUCAUUAGCUCAACAUCUUGUGAUGUACAUGAAUUUUAUGUACUGGCUCUCUUUCUUUUUAUAAUGUAUGUAUGUUUGCCCAGGAAGGAGUGCAAAAAGUUCAGGGCAAGAAAAUCUGAAAAUCUGCUGCAGGCAACACAUGAAUCUGAUAUAAAAUUAAAAUUAAUUUCUUUAGAGCAUGGCAAACCAUAUAAGUAAAUGAUAUUGGUAAUGGUUUUCGCAUCGUUCAAACACAUGAGGCAGUCAUGGACAAGAUAUUUUCUUUGUCGUCCAGAAGAAGUGCAAGAUGCGUAUAUCCAACUGGGACUUUGCUUUGCGCUUCAAUCGCUGGAUCAAAUGAAAAAUAAAAGCUCAAGUAAUGCACUACAAGAAUACCUGUGGUAGUUAUGUGAUGAGCCAUCAGGCUCCUGAUUUAUAAAUUUGUUAACCAGCUGCAGGACAAGGCCUGAGAGUAUGCCAUUGCUCUGGAAAUGGAAGAGAGAACAAAUGGUUUCCUUGAUCAGAUGGUGAAUGAUAGAGGCUCGAAUGACACUACUAUAAUAUUAUGCAUUGCAUUUUUAUAAGCUAAGAAUCGGCUGACUGCAUCAACUAUAAGUUAAAUUUUUACUGUCUGGUUUAAUUUCUCCUAGAGUGAGGAACCCCCCCCCCCCCCCCCCCCCCCCAAAAAAAAAAAUAAAAAAAUGGGGGAUGACUUAUACUAGCAGUAAUGAUUGCAUUUAUAGGUGCUUUGUUUGCAAAAUUCAUGAAUAUAAAAUAUAUCCCAUGUAUUAGGGAUUGCAUCUUAUUAACACAUUUAA